rnacentral:rRNA from 1 species
UACGUAGGGGGCAAGCGUUGUCCGGAUUUAUUGGGCGUAAAGAGCGUGUAGGCGGCUAGAUAGGUCCGUUGUGAAAACUCGAGGCUCAACCUCGAGACGUCGAUGGAAACCAUCUGGCUAGAGUUCGGUAGGGAGACUGGAAUUCCUGGUGUAGCGGUGAAAUGCGCAGAUAUCAGGAGGAACACCGGUGGCGAAGGCGGGUCUCUGGGCCGAUACUGACGCUGAGGAGCGAAAGCGUGGGGAGCGAACAGG